rnacentral:tRNA from 1 species
GGCCGGUUAGCUAAGUUGGUUAGAGCGUGGUGCUAAUAACGCCUAGGUCUCAGGUUCCAUCCCCGUAACUGCCA